AUUGAACGCUGGCGGUAGGCUUAACACAUGCAAGUCGAGCGGAAACGAAGGUAGCUUGCUACCAGGCGUCGAGCGGCGGACGGGUGAGUAACGCGUGGAAAUUUGCCUAGUAGUGGGGGAUAGCCCGGAGAAAUCCGGAUUAAUACCGCAUAAUCUCUACGGAGUAAAGGUGGCCUCUCCUUGGAAGCUAUCGCUACUAGAUAAGCCCGCGUUGGAUUAGCUUGUUGGUGAGGUAAUGGCUCACCAAGGCAACGAUCCAUAGCUGGUCUGAGAGGAUGAUCAGCCACACUGGAACUGAGACACGGUCCAGACUCCUACGGGAGGCAGCAGUGGGGAAUAUUGCACAAUGGGCGCAAGCCUGAUGCAGCCAUACCGCGUGUGUGAAGAAGGCUCUAGGGUCGUAAAGCACUUUAAGCAGGGAGGAAGGUCAUAAGAUUAAUACUCUUGUGAAUUGACGUAC
rnacentral:rRNA from 1 species